UACCAGCACCCCGAGUGGUCGGGACGAUUAUUGGGCCUAAAGCAUCCGUAGCCGGCCUUACAAGUCCUCCGUUAAAUCCAAGCUGCUUAACAGAUGGGCUGCGGAGGAUACUAUAAGACUAGGAGGCAGGAGAGGCAAGCGGUACUCAGUGGGUAGGGGUAAAAUCCGUUGAUCCAUUGAAGACCACCAGUGGCGAAGGCGGCUUGCCAGAAUGCGCUCGACGGUGAGGGAUGAAAGCUGGGGGAGCAAACCGG
rnacentral:rRNA from 1 species